AGUGAACGCUGGCGGUAGGCCUAACACAUGCAAGUCGAACGGCAGCACAGUAAGAGCUUGCUCUUACGGGUGGCGAGUGGCGGACGGGUGAGGAAUACAUCGGAAUCUACUUUUUCGUGGGAGAUAACGUAGGGAAACUUACGCUAAUACCGCAUACGACCUACGGGUGAAAGCAGGGGAUCUUCGGACCUUGCGCGAUUGAAUGAGCCGAUGUCGGAUUAGCUAGUUGGCGGGGUAAAGGCCCACCAAGGCGACGAUCCGUAGCUGGUCUGAGAGGAUGAUCAGCCACACUGGAACUGAGACACGGACCAGACUCCUACGGGAGGCAGCAGUGGGGAAUAUUGGACAAUGGGCGCAAGCCUGAUCCAGCCAUACCGCGUGGGUGAAGAAGGCCUUCGGGUUGUAAAGCCCUUUUGUUGGGAAAGAAAAGCAGCAGGUUAAUACCCCGCUGUUCUGACGGUACCCAAAGAAUAAGCACCGGCUAACUUCGUG
rnacentral:rRNA from 1 species